CACUGUUAUUCAGUCAGGUGGGUCAGGUGUCUCAGGUGUGGUGAGGAGGGUAUGUCUUUUCCACAGAGACUGCAGAGGUGAGUCAGUGUGCAGACUCGGGACAGUCAGUUCAUGGUUUCUCUCGAGAGCUCCUGUGUGUUACAGCGCUCCUGCAGCUCAGUUGCGUGUGAAGCCAUGCUGUCCAUAUAGCUGAGUGUGCUCCUUGUGGUGGGACUGUGGAGAACAUGUGGUCAGGAACUUUUACAGCAGAAAGGGAUUUCUAUAAGCACAGAUCAAAGCUGUGUGAGUGCUGGCCAUGUUUUAGAAGAGAGCUGUCUCACUUGUUGCUGAUGUCUUGUUUUGUUUUAUCUAAAGGCGAGACGGAGCGUUACUGGACUGCAUCUACACCAUCCUUACAAUCUAACACAGGUUCUGAAGGUUCUGAUGGCUCCCAAACCCUGCUCCUGAAACGAAACGGAUAGUCAUAAUGCCGUCAGAGUCUUGUCAACAUAUUCAGUGUUGGACCCUGCUGUCGGCCUGCGGUUUUCUCCUGUAUUCUUUCUCCCAUCCCCUAAACACACUGAAACAGUGUGUGUUUCACCAGUCCCCUGGAACACAGCUGCAGCCUACUGAUUGGCUGUAGCACUCACCAGACUGCUCCAGUGACCCUGUCAAAGCCCACUACUACAGUCCAGGAGCCCACAACCCUCCCUGAGCCGUCAUGAGCAGCCCUAGCACGCAGUGAGUAGCAGUCGAUGUGAUCGACGGGCCAGGGGCUUGUGCGUCUCGCAGGCCCUGAUCCAGAUGCCUCUUCUCAAAAAGCCACCUUACUUGCGGAGCACUUCAUGCACUGGUUUCACAGUAUACUGUACAGUAUACUGUCCAAAGCCAAUGCUGUAACCCUGUCUGUGGAGGGUACUGGACUUGAGUCUAAAUUGAAAGACGCUGGGGGAACUAACGAAUAUUUGUUUGGAAUCCUUAUAUCAGCAGGGAAGAAAGCUGUAACAAGAAAGUGGCUUCUCCUAGAUCUACCAACAAUGACUGAUUGGAUUGAACUAAUAAAGGAAAUAUAUAUAAUGGAAAAAAUAACAUUUUCACUAAAAGUACAAAUUAAAAAAAUUGUCAAAUAUUGGUCUAGAUGGGUUCAGUACAUUAAACCUUUAAGGUCGGAUUUUGUUGAGAUACAAAAUAAUUGGUCUCCCUUUUCAUACUCAUAAAUGUGUACAUCUUCUUUUGAAUGUAUAUAGUUUUGUAAAAAAGUUAUAUAAUUGUAAAAUACUAGGGGGAAAAAAGGUUUGCCCUUUUUUUGAAUUUUUGAUGUAAUAAUGGUGGUUUAGAUGUAAAAUGGUUUUGUUUUGUUUUCUGAAAAAAAAAUAUUUUUAAGAAAAGUGUGGGGGUGAUAUUUGAUUCAGGCUUGACAUUCGAGCAUAUUGUCAAAACAUCUUUCUUUCACCUCAGAAAUAUCACUAGACUGCGCCCUAUUUUAUCACUUACUGUGGCUGAAAACCUGAUCAACACAUUUGUCUUCUCCUGUAUUGACUACUGUAAUACUCUACUCACUGGGGAGUGAGUAAACUCCCUCACUCCUGUCCUGGAGUCCCUGCACUGGCUUCCAGUUGACUCCAGAGUCCUCCUGCUCACCUGUAGGGCUCUGCUGGGCUCUGCCCCUCUGUACCUGUCUGAGCUCCCAUCAUCCUCCUCCCCCUCCGCUGGUCUGACUCUGCUCUCCUGUCUGUCCCCCCCAGCCCCUCUACACUCUGGGGGGUGAAGGGGCUUCUCCUGCUGCGCCCCAGAGCUCUGGAGCUGCAGCCCCCAGGAUCUCAGAGUCUCCCCCCCUGAGCUCUUUCAGAUCCAGACUCCACACCUUCUUCUCCAGAACAUUCUGUAUUUAACUGGUUCUGUUCUUUACCCCUCUGCUCCUGCUGUAUCCAGUACAGACGACUGUCUCCUCUACCUGUGUUCUCAUCCUGCAUAUCUGUAUUUUUAUAUUGUUGUCAUUCUGUAAAACUAAGAAGCCACCUGUAAAGUGCUACAUAAAAUAAAGGUUUUUAUUCUUCUU